GACGAACGCUGGCGGCGUGCUUAACACAUGCAAGUCGAACGAUGACGACCGAGCUUGCUCGGUCUGAUUAGUGGCGAACGGGUGAGUAACACGUGAGCAACCUGCCCUUCACUCUGGGAUAACCUCGGGAAAUCGGGGCUAAUACCGGAUAUGAGCUCCUGUCGCAUGGCGGGUGUUGGAAAGUUUUUCGGUGAAGGAUGGGCUCGCGGCCUAUCAGUUUGUUGGUGAGGUAGUGGCUCACCAAGGCGAUGACGGGUAGCCGGCCUGAGAGGGCGACCGGCCACACUGGGACUGAGACACGGCACAGACUCCUACGGGAGGCAGCAGUGGGGAAUAUUGCACAAUGGGCGAAAGCCUGAUGCAGCGACGCCGCGUGAGGGAUGACGGCCUUCGGGUUGUAAACCUCUUUCAGCAGGGAAGAAGCGAAAGUGACGGUACCUGUAGAAGAAGCGCCGGCUAACUACGUG
rnacentral:rRNA from 1 species